GAUGAAGAACGCAGCGAAAUGCGAUAAGUAAUGUGAAUUGCAGAAUUCAGUGAAUCAUCGAAUCUUUGAACGCACAUUGCGCCCGCCAGUAUUCUGGCGGGCAUGCCUGUCUGAGUGUCAUUUCAACCCUCAUGCCCCUAGGGCGUGGUGUUGGGGAUCGGCCAAAGCCCGCGAGGGACGGCCGGCCCCUAAAUCUAGUGGCGGACCCGUCGUGGCCUCCUCUGCGAAGUAGUGAUAUUCCGCAUCGGAGAGCGAUGAGCCCCUGCCGUUAAACCCCCAACUUUCCAAGGUUGACCUCAGAUCAGGUAGGAAUACCCGCUGAACUUAAGCAUAUCAAUAAGCGGGGGA
rnacentral:misc_RNA from 1 species